rnacentral:lncRNA from 1 species
CGGGCUCGGCGGCUGUGGUGGGGUUGCAGGGCUUGGCGGCGACGGCAGCGCCGGUGACGGCUGUGGGCUGGGUGGCUGCAGCGGCAGUCCUGGGCUAGGUGGUGAAGGCUCUGGCGACGGUGGCUGCGGGCCCGGCGGCUGUGGUGGGGUUGCAGGGCUUGGCGGCGACGGCAGCGACGGUGACGGCUGUGGGCUGGGUGGCUGCAGCGGCAGUCCUGAGCUAGGUGGUGAAGGCGCUGGCGACGGUGGCUGCGGGCUUGGCGGCUGUGGUGGGGUUGCAGGGCUUGGCGGCGACGGCAGCGAAGGUGACGGCUGUGGGCUGGGUGGCUGCAGCGGCAGUCCUGGGCUAGGUGGUGAAGGCUCUGGCGACGGUGGCUGCGGGCUCGGCGGCUGUGGUGGGGUUGCAGGGCUUGGCGGCGGCGGCAGCGCCGGUGUUGGCUGUGGUCUGGGUGGCUGCAGCGGCAGUCCUGGGCUAGGUGGUGAAGGCUCUGGCGACGGUGGCUGCGGGCUCGGCGGCUGUGGUGGGGUUGCAGGGCUUGGCGGCGACGGCAGCGACGGUGACGGCUGUGGGCUGGGUGGCUGCAGCGGCAGUCCUGAGCUAGGUGGUGAAGGCUCUGGCGACGGUGGCUGCGGGCUCGGCGGCUGUGGUGGGGUUGCAGGGCUUGGCGGCGACGGCAGCGCCGGUGUUGGCUGUGGGCUGGGUGGCUGCAGCGGCAGUCCUGGGCUAGGUGGUGAAGGCUCUGGCGACGGUGGCUGCGGGCUCGGCGGCUGUGGUGGGGUUGCAGGGCUUGGCGGCGACGGCAGCGACGGUGACGGCUGUGGGCUGGGUGGCUGCAGCGGCAGUCCUGGGCUAGGUGGUGAAGGCUCUGGCGACGGUGGCUGCGGGCUCGGCGGCUGUGGUGGGGUUGCAGGGCUUGGCGGCGACGGCAACGCCGGUGACGGCUGUGGGCUGGGUGGCUGCAGCGGCAGUCCUGGGCUAGGUGGUGAAGGCUCUGGCGACGGUGGCUGCGGGCUCGGCGGCUGUGGUGGGGUUGCAGGGCUUGGCGGCGACGGCAGCGACGGUGUUGGCUGUGGGCUGGGUGGCUGCAGCGGCUGUCCUGGGCUAGGUGGUGAAGGCUCUGGCGACGGUGGCUGCGGGCUCGGCGGCUGUGGUGGGGUUGCAGGGCUUGGCGGCGACGGCAGCGACGGUGACGGCUGUGGGCUGGGUGGCUGCAGCGGCUGUCCUGGGCUAGGUGGUGAAGGCUCUGGCGACGGUGGCUGCGGGCUCGGCGGCUGUGGUGGGGUUGCAGGGCUUGGCGGCGACGGCAGCGACGGUGACGGCUGUGGGCUGGGUGGCUGCAGCGGCUGUCCUGGGCUAGGUGGUGAAGGCUCUGGCGACGGUGGCUGCGGGCUCGGCGGCUGUGGUGGGGUUGCAGGGCUUGGCGGCGACGGCACCGACGGUGUUGGCUGUGGGCUGGGUGGCUGCAGCGGCAGUCCUGGGCUAGGUGGUGAAGGCUCUGGCGACGGUGGCUGCGGGCUCGGCGGCUGUGGUGGGGUUGCAGGGCUUGGCGGCGGCGGCAGCGACGGUGACGGCUGUGGGCUGGGUGGCUGCAGCGGCAGUCCUGGGCUAGGUGGUGAAGGCUCUGGCGACGGUGGCUGCGGCAGGGCUUGGCGGCGAUGGCAGGCGUUGACGGCUGUGGGCUGGGUGGCUGCAGCGGCAGUCCUGGGCUAGGUGGUGAAGGCUCUGGCGACGGUGGCUGCGGGCUCGGCGGCUGUGGUGGGGUUGCAGGGCUUGGCGGCGGCGGCAGCGACGGUGUUCGGCUGUGGGCUGGGUGGCUGCAGCGGCAGUCCUGGGCUAGGUGGUGAAGGCUCUGGCGACGGUGGCUGCGGGCUCGGCGGCUGUGGUGGGGUUGCAGGGCUUGGCGGCGGCGGCAGCGACGGUGUUGGCUGUGGGCUGGGUGGCUGCAGCGGCAGUCCUGGGCUAGGUGGUGAAGGCUCUGGCGACGGUGGCUGCGGGCUCGGCGGCUGUGGUGGGGUUGCAGGGCUUGGCGGCGACGGCAGCGCCGGUGUUGGCUGUGGGCUGGGUGGCUGCAGCGGCAGUCCUGGGCUAGGUGGUGAAGGCGCUGGCGACGGUGGCUGCGGGCUCGGCGGCUGUGGUGGGGUUGCAGGGCUUGGCGGCGACGGCAGCGCCGGUGUUGGCUGUGGGCUGGGUGGCUGCAGCGGCAGUCCUGGGCUAGGUGGUGAAGGCUCUGGCGACGGUGGCUGCGGGCUCGGCGGCUGUGGUGGGGUUGCAGGGCUUGGCGGCGACGGCAAGCGACGGUGACGGCUGUGGGCUGGGUGGCUGCAGCGGCAGUCCUGGGCUAGGUGGUGAAGGCUCUGGCGACGGUGGCUGCGGGCUCGGCGGCUGUGGUGGGGUUGCAGGGCUUGGCGGCGACGGCAGCGCCGGUGUUGGCUGUGGGCUGGGUGGCUGCAGCGGCAGUCCUGGGCUAGGUGGUGAAGGCUCUGGCGACGGUGGCUGCGGGCUCGGCGGCUGUGGUGGGGUUGCAGGGCUUGGCGGCGACGGCAACGCCGGUGUUGGCUGUGGACUGGGUGGCUGCAGCGGCAGUCCUGGGCUAGGUGGUGAAGGCGCUGGCGACGGUGGCUGCGGGCUCGGCGGCUGUGGUGGGGUUGCAGGGCUUGGCGGCGACGGCAGCGCCGGUGUUGGCUGUGGGCUGGGUGGCUGCAGCGGCAGUCCUGGGCUAGGUGGUGAAGGCGCUGGCGACGGUGGCUGCGGGCUCGGCGGCUGUGGUGGGGUUGCAGGGCUUGGCGGCGACGGCAGCGACGGUGACGGCUGUGGGCUGGGUGGCUGCAGCGGCAGUCCUGGGCUAGGUGGUGAAGGCUCUGGCGACGGUGGCUGCGGGCUCGGCGGCUGUGGUGGGGUUGCAGGGCUUGGCGGCGACGGCAAGCGCCGGUGUUGGCUGUGGGCUGGGUGGCUGCAGCGGCAGUCCUGGGCUAGGUGGUGAAGGCUCUGGCGACGGUGGCUGCGGGCUCGGCGGCUGUGGUGGGGUUGCAGGGCUUGGCGGCGACGGCAGCGACGGUGAUGGCUGUGGGCUGGGUGGCUGCAGCGGCAGUCCUGGGCUAGGUGGUGAAGGCGCUGGCGACGGUGGCUGCGGGCUCGGCGGCUGUGGUGGGGUUGCAGGGCUUGGCGGCGACGGCAGCGCCGGUGACGGCUGUGGGCUGGGUGGCUGCAGCGGCAGUCCUGGGCUAGGUGGUGAAGGCUCUGGCGACGGUGGCUGCGGGCUCGGCGGCUGUGGUGGGGUUGCAGGGCUUGGCGGCGACGGCAGCGACGGUGUUGGCUGUGGGCUGGGUGGCUGCAGCGGCAGUCCUGGGCUAG